CUCAGUGUCAGUACAGAUCCAGGAGGCUGCCUUCGCCAUUGGUAUUCUUCACAAUAUCUACGCAUUCCACCGCUACACUGUGAAUUCUACCUCCCUCUAUCGUACUCUAGUGAAUCAGUUUUGGAUGCAGUUCCCAGGUUGAGCCCGGGGAUUUCACACCCAACUUAAUAAACCACCUACGCGCGCUUUACGCCCAGUAAUUCCGAUUAACGCUUGGACCUUCCGUAUUACCGCGGCUGCUGGCACGGAAUUAGCCGGUCCUUAUUCUGAUGGUAAUGUCACGGUCAUUGGGUAUUAACCAAUGACUUUUCUUCCCAACUUAAAGUGCUUUACAACCCUAGGGCCUUCUUCACACACGCGGUAUGGCUGGAUCAGGCUUUCGCCCAUUGUCCAAUAUUCCCCACUGCUGCCUCCCGUAGGAGUCUAGGCCGUGUCUCAGUCCCAAUGUGGCGGAUCGUCCUCUCAGACCCGCUAAAGAUCGUAGCCUUGGUGAGCCUUUACCUCACCAACAAGCUAAUCUUACGCAGGCUCAUCUAGUAGCGAAAGCUUCAAAGAGAGGCCUUCUUUCUCCCGAAGGAGGUAUACGGUAUUAAUCCGAGUUUCCUCGGGCUAUCCCCUUCUACUAGGUAGAUUCCUACGCGUUACUCACCCGUCCGCCGCUCUACUCAUAUCCGAAGAUACUUUCUCGCACGACUUGCAUGUGUUAAGCCUACCGCCAGCGUUCAAUCUGAGCCAGGAUCAAACUCU
rnacentral:rRNA from 1 species